GGGAAGGUGGUCUAGCUUGGUAAGAAAAAGGUAUGAAACCGUGUGGUCGGGGGUUCAAAUCCCCCCUUUCCCA
rnacentral:tRNA from 1 species